rnacentral:rRNA from 1 species
UAAGACGAACCGUGCGAACGUUGUUCGGAAUCACUGGGCUUAAAGGGCGCGUAGGCAGACUGCAAAGUCAGGGGUGAAAUCUUUCGGCUUAACCGGAAAACAGCUUCUGAUACUGGUAGUCUAGAGGGAGGUAGGGGCAUGCGGAACUUCCGGUGGAGCGGUGAAAUGCGUUGAUAUCGGAAGGAACUCCGGUGGCGAAAGCGGCGUGCUGGACCUCUUCUGACGCUGAGGCGCGAAAGCUAGGGGAGCAAACGGGAUUAGAUACCCCGGUAGUCCUAGCCCUAAACGAUGGGUACUAGGUAGUGGACUUGACAUGGGUUCACUGCCGAAGCAAAAGUGAUAAGUACCCCGCCUGGGGAGUAUGGUCGCAAGGCUG